UCUUACCAUACUCCCCUGAAGUCUAGCCGUUUGCUUUUUCUGAACAAAUGGAGGUGUAUGGGAACUGUUGAGUCAAUCUUGCUUUAGUGUGAUCACCUGAGGAAAGGACUGAGUCAGCCCUGGGAGCACAGGUGAAGGCUUUAGACCCCAUUUAAAGGCUGACUGCCACUAGGAAGGAUCUCUUUCUGGAGAUCCCUCCUCUGUGGAGUCUUUCCUGUGAACCUAGACCUUUGGAUACAGGUGAGCAUUCCUUCCCAGUUUGCUUCUUUUCCUAUUUCCAUCAUGAUAAUCUUUCCAGCUGUAACAGGAGGCCCUUCAAUGAGGAGGAAACUAUAACAAAUCACCAGUAAUUAUGUUCCUUGGAGGUUUUUUAUUACGAGCAUUUUAGGGUAAAUUCGAAUGAACAAUUCUUACAUCCUUUGACUUUAGAACUUUUCAUUGCUACUCUGUGUUUAUUUUAUUUCUUAUCUAAGUCUGUGUGCUGCUUUAACAGGUGACUGGGUGAAUUGCAGAGAAUUGCAAAGGAGGAACUGAUGCACCUAACCAUCACACAAUGAACUGGCGACCUUUACAGGAACAUCUGCUUCAAGUACAGAAGGGGCAAUUUAUAACAGUCUUUGUGUAACCAAAUUAUCCUUGUCAGAUGGUAUGGUUGUGUGAGACUCGAUUAAGUGAAUGUUGGACAGUAUCGUUGGUACCAACUUUAAAUGCACGACUAGCCUUUUCUAAUCUGUCUAUUGAAUAGACAGAACUAGGCCAUAGUCAGAAAGAAAAACCAACCUUGAGAGGUGCACCAAAGUUGGAGUAAUCUCACCUUUUAUCAGACAUCUGCAGUAUCAUGGCCGUGCCUACUGUGGUCCUGGAGACACUUGAUGUGGUCAAUAGAGAAACAUGGUUCAGAAGAUAAGUGGUACAUUUCUACGUUAUGAGUGUCAGGAAAGAGCCAAUAUACUUCUCCGGUAUGCGUGUACUGAAUAUAGCAGGCGUGAAGCAAGCUGAUUGUUUACCUACUUCUCUCCUAAUCUCUUCUCAGUAGCUUUUAAACCAACUGUUCAGCUUCAUCUGGAUUUGAAGGAAGG
rnacentral:lncRNA from 1 species